AUUGAACGCUGGCGGCAUGCUUUACACAUGCAAGUCGAACGGUAACAGGCCUUCGGGUGCUGCCGAGUGGCGAACGGGCGAGUAAUGCAUCGGAACGUGCCCAGAGGUGGGGGAUAACGCAGCGAAAGCUGUGCUAAUACCGCAUGUGAUCUGAGGAUGAAAGCGGGGGACCAGGCAGCAAUGUUUGGCCUCGCGCCUUUGGAGCGGCCGAUGUCAGAUUAGGUAGUUGGUGGGGUAAAGGCCUACCAAGCCGACGAUCUGUAGCUGGUCUGAGAGGACGACCAGCCACACUGGGACUGAGACACGGCCCAGACUCCUACGGGAGGCAGCAGUGGGGAAUUUUGGACAAUGGGCGCAAGCCUGAUCCAGCAAUGCCGCGUGCGGGAAGAAGGCCUUCGGGUUGUAAAGCGCUUUUGUACGGAACGAAAAGGCUCUGGCUAAUACCUGGGGCUGAUGACGGUACCGUAAGAAUAAGCACCGGCUAACUACGUG
rnacentral:rRNA from 1 species